rnacentral:rRNA from 1 species
AGUGAACGCUGGCGGUAGGCCUAACACAUGCAAGUCGAACGGCAGCACAGUAAGAGCUUGCUCUUACGGGUGGCGAGUGGCGGACGGGUGAGGAAUACAUCGGAAUCUACUUUUUCGUGGGGGAUAACGUAGGGAAACUUACGCUAAUACCGCAUACGACCUACGGGUGAAAGCAGGGGAUCUUCGGACCUUGCGCGAUUGAAUGAGCCGAUGUCGGAUUAGCUAGUUGGCGGGGUAAAGGCCCACCAAGGCGACGAUCCGUAGCUGGUCUGAGAGGAUGAUCAGCCACACUGGAACUGAGACACGGUCCAGACUCCUACGGGAGGCAGCAGUGGGGAAUAUUGGACACUGGGCGCAAGCCUGAUCCAGCCAUACCGCGUGGGUGAAGAAGGCCUUCGGGUUGUAAAGCCCUUUUGUUGGGAAAGAAAAGCAGCAGGUUAAUACCCCGCUGUUCUGACGGUACCCAAAGAAUAAGCACCGGCUAACUUCGUG